rnacentral:siRNA from 1 species
UUGACAUAGUUGUUGUUGAUGUC